GACGAACGCUGGCGGCGUGCUUAAAACAUGCAAGUCGAACGGACUUCUCAUGAAGCUUGCGAUUGAGAAGUUAGUGGCGGACGGGUGAGUAACGCGUGGGCAACCUGCCCCUGAGCCCGGGAUAACAGUUCGAAAGGACUGCUAAGACCGGAUAUACUUGCGGGGAAGCAUUUCACUGCAAGGAAAGGGAACGCUCAGGGAUGGGCCCGCGUCCCAUUAGCUAGUUGGUGAGGUAACGGCCCACCAAGGCGACGAUGGGUAGCCGGCCUGAGAGGGUGAACGGCCACACUGGGACUGAGACACGGCCCAGACUCCUACGGGGGCAGCAGUUGGGAAUCUUCGGCAAUGGGCGCAAGCCUGACCGAGCAACGCCGCGUGAGUGAUGAAGGUUUUCGGAUUGUAAAGCUCUGUCUUCCGGGACGAUAAUGACGGUACCGGAGGAGGAAGCCACGGCUAACUACGUG
rnacentral:rRNA from 1 species